CCAGCUAGAUGCAAAUGACAUUUUCUCAUUUCAUUAUCUAAGCUAGCUGAUAAUUUCCUGAAGAUUUUAAAUGGGCAACAGUUGAGUCAUGACCUUUCUUAAGCUUAUGGAGGUAAGGAGCAGUCACAUUGGGACUGUGUGAAAACAAGCAACUAUAUUUGUUUUGCAGUCUUCCUGAUCUGAAUUUGUGAAAUUGAGUUCUUGACUUGGGUGAAGCACUGCAGAAGGGACUUUGAAAGCACACUGACAAAGAGAUGGAGAGCUGGAGUCUGUUCCCACAAAAUCAGCAAUAAAACUGACUUCAAUAAGUGCAGGGUGAGGUGGGGAAUGACUCGAUGCAGCGGCGUCCCACUGGUUGCAGUGACCUGUUUCAGUGGGCUUGAAAGCCAAUUUUCAAGGAAGACAGACUCCAUCCUGCUUUGCCAUCAAACUGAGGUCACACAGAGCCUGUGCAGGCUACAGGAUCAGAGACUGAGAACAUCUAAAUUUUUUUGUAGGCUGAUCACAUUUUUCAAGUGAAAACAUUGAGGUACUUUGAAAAUGAAUUGCAUAUAAGAAAUUUAAAUAAAUUAAGAUCUGUAGCUUACUGGUAUCACAGUAUUUUUUAAUGUAAUUAAUAGCAUAUCAAAUGGAUUGCUCUUCUAAGAUAGGUGAAUUAUCAGAGAGAUAGCUGUUAUCUACUACAAAUACUUUUUUGUUAUGUGCUAGGUUUAUGAAGGUCAGCCAUGCUGUGAUGUGAGUGACUGUUGAAAAUAUUAGAGAUUUCUAACCUGUACUGUUCCUGUUAUUAUUGUAAGAAUUGUAUAAAUUGUAAUAAAUUGUAAUACAUACUCAACCUUUCACUUAGUUUUGACGGUGUGUCCCCUACACUGAUACAGCAACUGGAACACGUGGCAAACCAGAAAAGUGAAUUUUUUCUGUUCAUUGAAGAUAUAGGGUGAAAUGACUGAGAGGUUAAAUCCCAGUAUGAGUUGCAAGUCAAGUGAAACAACGAAAAAUUUCACUUUGAUGAGUCAGAUCUAAGAAUGUUGCUGUAAUGAAGGAUAAUUAUGAUGACAGAAAUUAAGGAAAGAAUUACGAUAAUUGAAAACUCUGUUGUGGCAGAUAUUAAAAGACCCUGGAGUUCUGGGGCUGUUAAACAUUACCAUUAAAAUCCUGGUAAUUAGAAAUACUUGACAAAGGAUGGGUGAACAUUUAGCAAAACAAAAGCUUAACUAUUAGUUUCUGAUAAUCCUGUUAAAUUGCACACUGUGUUUAUUACAUGUUUGAGUCUUCUGUGACUGAGACUGCUUGAUGGCAUAGGUGGUUUCCAGCAUCUAAACCUUCCAUCUUAAAUCUUUGGAAAUAGAUUUAACUACAAAAGAAAAAAAAAAAGAGAGAGAGAAGACAAUACCAGGAAAGCUUGUGCUUCAGCCCAUUGCUCUAAUCAAGCACAGACACGAUAAGAUAUAUGAAGGUCUAAUUCCCAUGAAAGUUUGCUUGUGACCCUGUUCUUUGCAUUGUAUGACUGAAAUGUCUCAGUUCCUGCACAGCUGCCUAAAGUUCAUUUCAGGCUGAGUUUGUGGCUGUAUGAUGUGCAUUAUUCCACUCUCUUUUGUGCAUUUUUGGGGUACUUUUUGUCUAAGGGAACUGCUUAUAUUUUCUAUUUUGAGAGAUCUUCUUAGUUUACCUGUCCUUGGGUUACAGAAAAAGCUGCUUCUGAUCAUCUGUGUAGAGAUCAAGUGCAGGAAAAGGGCAUCCAAAAGACCAAGGACGUGUAAGUAAUUUUCAUACUGGUGUGUAUGGUAAGGCUUGAUUAGUUUACAAAUUAUUUUCAACCAUUUGAAAAUGAAGUGAUUUGGGUCCUGGAACACAAAGAAGAAAGAAAUUACUGGACUAUUCUUAUUAGAGCCAACUUGGCAGAAUUUGCAACUUGACCAGCAAGAAGCUCCCAUUAUUUUAGGAACAGUAUGGGGUCCAACCCUGUAAACCCACAGUCCUGGCAGCCCCAGUGAAGAAGUCAUGGUGUCCAUAGCAACACACUGCAGUGUGAAGUAUUCCUGCACCUCCUCAGCUCCCAUCCUGGCACUGCUGGGACACGGACAAACUGUGCGUGACUGAUCCUGUUUGUGUCACCACUGUUUUAGCUCCACAUUACAAACCUUGUUUCCCCCACAAAGAGCAUCUGCUUUCUGCAUGACAUGUUUUUAAUGUGCUGAUUUAUCAUUGCCAGAUACAGGAUUUUUAUUGCUGAAUUUUGAAUAUUGUAUUUAAGGUGCUCUUUUUUUCGAUUACAGAUGUUUUACAUAUAAAUUGCCUCAUAUUACAAAAAA